GGGUGCAGGCGGUCGUCGAUACUCGCACGAGCCGUGGAGGCUCGAAUUCAUCAAGAUCGAAGGAAAAAAUAAUUUUAUUAUUCAAAAUAUUAUUAAUAAUAAACUAAUAAUAUUUUUUUCCUUAUCAAAAUAUUUUCUUUUUUUUUAUUUUUCUCCCUUCCCUUCCCUUUCUUCCUCCGCCCCACACCCCCCCUCCACGCCCCCAA
rnacentral:lncRNA from 1 species